UGAAUAUAUGUACACUGCUGUGACUGGUCAGCUCUUUGAAGAAGACAUGAACAUCAUUAAUAAAUCAGAAAUCUUGAUGAUUCAAAUACCUUAAUUGAUGCAUUAAUUAACAUAUUGUUCCUGCAUUAAGUCAUGCAUGAGAUACUAUUAAUCCUUUUACAUUACUGAAGUACUACUUUUUCAUGCAUGAAGUCAUGCAUGAAUUCACAACAAUUCAUGUACCAUAACUAUAAAGUGUAACCAAUAGAACAAUACAAAACAAAAAAUGCUGACUGCUCUUGUACUUUGUGUGGAGCAUCAGAUGUCACAUCUCCAGCCUCAGGAUGAUGAACACACUCACUCUUCUGCUGGUUGCUCUCUCUCUGCCCUGUUGUACAAGUCAGAGUAUGGAGUCCAUUCCUUCCAGUUCAGUAGUGAAAAAGCCUGGGGAGACUCUCAGUCUCUCCUGCAGGGGAUCUGGCUUCACAUUUAGCUGCUGCAACAUGAACUGGAUCAGACAACCUGCAGGAGAAGCACUGGAAUGGAUCGGGUGUAUUUACAGUGAUGCUAGUCAGGGGCGCUACACCAGCAGUGUGCAAGGACGAGUAGCGCUCACCAGAGAUAACAGCAACAGCAUGGUGUAUCUGAGACUGUCCAACUUAAAGCCAGAGGACUCUGCUGUGUAUUACUGUGCCAGAGAAACACACUGGUUAAAGGAAGCAGAGAGGCUUGACAAAAACCUCACACAAUUUAUUUUCACAAAUACCUCCAGGUGGCAGUCAAAGGCCGGUUUACCGUCUCCAGAGAAAACAGCAGACAGCAGGUAUAUCUGCAGAUGA